GGAGGAAGCAAUAGGUGACAUUACAGGGAGAAGGAGGUGAACCAGAACAAGCAGGACAGCAGCCAGAGCCCGAACGACACGCAGAUCUUCUCCUCAGCGAAGCAGGCGACCAGAUAGUCCAGGUUCCAGAGCCCCGAGAUGCGUGUGUACAUAUAUGCCGAGAAUGUACAAUGCUCUAUGCCUGUACAGUGUCUUUUUGGCAUAAAUGACAGUGCACACGAGGUGAUGAGGCCACAGAGAAGAUAUAGCUGCUAAAGAUUUC